GUUCUCCGCCAUCGGCCCCGACUUGGCUCAGUACUGCCCCCAAUACAAACAUAGAAGCGUCUGUGUGAAGAAGAAAAUGUUUAGUUGGAUUGGGAGCUGCCAAGACAGGGGCAUUUCUAAGUGAAUUUUUCAAUUGAUGGAAUGCCUGCUCACACUCCGGGGUCCAGGUUACUUGGCGGGGAAGGUUUUUCCAGGUAAGAUCAAUAAGGGGCUUGGCCAGGGCGCUAUAGUUGGGAACAAACUUCCUAUAGUACCCUGCCGUCCCUAAAAAGGCUAACACCUGAGUCUUCAUUCUGGGAGUUGGCCACUGGGC